rnacentral:rRNA from 1 species
GACGGAGGGUGCUAGCGUUGUUCGGAAUUAUUGGGCGUAAAGAGCUCGUAGGCGGCUUGUCGCGUCGUCUGUGAAAACCCGCGGCUCAACGGCGGGCUUGCAGUCGAUACGGGCAGGCUGGAGUUCGGUAGGGGAGACUGGAAUUCCUGGUGUAGCGGUGAAAUGCGUAGAUAUCUGGAGGAACACCGGUGGCGAAGGCGGCAUCCUGGACCGACACUGACACUGAGGAGCGAAAGCCAGGGGAGCAAACGGG